CCUACGGGAGGCUGCAGUGAGGAAUAUUGGUCAAUGGACGAGAGUCUGAACCAGCCAAGUAGCGUGAAUGAUGACUGCCCUAUGGGUUGUAAACUUCUUUUAUAUGGGAAUAAAACAGGGUAUGCAUACCCUCUUGUAUGUACCAUAUGAAUAAGGAUCGGCUAACUCCGUGCCAGCAGCCGCGGUAAUACGGAGGAUCCGAGCGUUAUCCGGAUUUAUUGGGUUUAAAGGGAGCGUAGGUGGAUUGUUAAGUCAGUUGUGAAAGUUUGCGGCUCAACCGUAAAAUUGCAGUUGAAACUGGCAGUCGUGAGUACAGUAGAGGUGGGCGGAAUUCGUGGUGUAGCGGUGAAAUGCUUAGAUAUCACGAAGAACUCCGAUUGCGAAGGCAGCUCACUGGACUGCAACUGACACUGAUGCUCGAAAGUGUGGGUAUCAAACAGGAUUAGAUACCCCAGUAGUC
rnacentral:rRNA from 1 species